UAUACACUGUAUACAAUGUAAUUACACUAAAAGAUCACUGUAAAAUUGCACUGAGAUUACACUAGAAAUUCCCUAAACUUACAGUGUAAUUACAGCAUAAAUACCCUUAAAUUGCAGUGUAACUACCCCUGAAAUUACACUGUAAUUGGCUAUGUGAUGAUGUACCUGAAAUCACACUAAAAAUCCCAGUGAUUUAUGGAGUGAUUAUACCCCUGAAAAAAUACACUGUAACUACCACAGAAAUUACACUUUAAUUACAGUAAAAUUAGGAGUGUGAUUGCCCUGAAAAUUAUAGUGUAAUUAACCCUGAAAUUACAGUGUAAAUGCUGUAAUUGAACUGUAGUUACACUGGAAAAUGCACUGUGAUUACAAUGUAAUUACCCCUGAGUUUACACUGUAAUAGAACUGUAAUUACACUGUAAAUCCUAUGAAUGUUCACUAGGUUUCAGAGAUGAAAUAAAACCAAAUCUAAGAUCAUGGAAACAAUCAGAGGGAAAACAGGAAAAAAAGAAGGAAGAAGUAGCAGAAACAAGACCAUGGCAAGCCUACAAAUGGGGAUCAUGAGAUGCCUGCAAAAUGAAGAACAGCAUAUACUAGAGAAAGAAAGCAAAGGAAAAACAGAGAAGAGAAAGUUAAAGAGAUGAAGCAUUCAAAGAGGAAAUGAAGUACUCUACCAGAUGAGAGUAAAGUCAAUAAGAAACGAUUGAGUCUUAAUUUGAUAGAAAGCAUUGGUGCUACUUAUUUUGCUGUUACCAAAUUUCCAGUGCUUUUAUUUUGUUGUUAGCUGCAAAUGAAAGAAGUAAUAAAGAUAAAUGAUGCCAAGAUGAAAAAAUACCAGUACAUAAAGAACAGCAUAUACCAGUGCUACUUAUUUACAGUCUACAUCUCUGUUAGUGCACUACAAAACCACUAUAAAAAACCACUAGCCACCUAUAGAAGAUUUCAAUGCUUAUAAUGCACAUCCACUAUGAGUUCCAAAUCCAUCUAAGAGGAUUUCCACUGAGAAAUGGGGAGGAAUCGUAUAUCAAGCUACACACUCAAGGAUGCGAAAACUAGGAUACAAAAAAGAGAAAGGGCAUGGGCUAUAAAUAGGAAAAACAUUGCAAGCCCACUAAGAUUUUUGUUUUGAAACAUACAACUUAUAAUUACACUGUAAAUACAUUGAUAAAUACAGUGAAAGUCUAAUAUGAAUUACACUGUAAAUCAACUAGCAAUUACACUGUAAAUCCACUCACAAAUACACUGUAAAUCCAAGGCAAUUACACUGUAAAUCCACUCGCAGUUACACUGUAAAUCCACUCGCAAAAAACACUGUAAAUCCACUAUAAAUCAACUCACAAAUACACUGUAAAACUAAGGCAGAAAUACACUGUAAAUCCAAAAAAGGAAUUACACUGCAACCCACUGAGAAUUACAGUGUAAAACAACCAGGAUUACGCUGUAAAAUCUACUAUCUAACCACUAGAAAAUCACACUGUAAAAUACGCUUAGUUACACUGAAAAUCCACUAUGGACUACACAGUAAAUCACUGUAUAUCCAAAUAGGAAGUACAUUGUAAAUGACAGUAAAUCAAAUGGGAAAUUACAUUAUAAAACCAACAAGGAAUUGCAGUUACAGAAAACGGUCUAGGGGAUUAUAACACCAGAGAUCAGGGUGACAAAUACACCCAGUAAGUUCGAAUUCUCUCAAUACAGCAUACUGCUACAACUAAACAAGCCAGCCUAUGAUUAACAACCGGCCGAACUUGAACAACAAACCAAUUACAGAAUUAACAACUGCACAUAACAGAUCCAGCGAGGCGCAUCCCAGCUACCCCAGCUAACGCGCAUAGCAGAGCAAUUAAAACGCCCAUCUCAUAAACGGGGCAACCUCACACAUCUACACAAAAAAUAGCUGCGGGGAUGGAUCACAGCAACAGAUCUGACUGACAAAACCAUCCGCACUACCUAACAGAUCACAGGAACAAAACAAAAACGAGGGUGAAAUACCGAAUCCGACGAACAGAAUCGGCGGCGGAAAUGGGGACGGUUGGGUGCAGGAUCGAGAGAUGCCGCAGCCCCCACCGGCAGACACAGAAGGGGGGCGGAGGAAGCGGGGCAGCACAAGGCAGGGCGCGGACGUGUCACCACCAAACAAUGGGAUCGAGCGGCGAGGCAGAGCUCCAAAUCGCCAUGGCCAUCUCUCUCGCUCGACUCUGUUCCGGGGUUGCGUGUACGAAAUGACAAAGGGGUUGCAAGUGGAAAUUAAC
rnacentral:rRNA from 1 species